UUUUUGUAAAACACACCACCAAACAAAAAUGUCACAAAAAGCAUAUUGAUAAAUUUUUCCACGGCCACCAGGCAUAGCGGAAUUGGCUCGGUUUGUCCCCAGUGUACUUUUUUUGCUUUCUUCUGACCACUACUCAUGCUAGGGCCUUCAUCUGGGUCAGAAUUUUCUUCAGGACUCAGGUCAUGCUGACUAAUUUUUCCUCUCAAAUAUUCAUCUAUUGCUAUUAUGUAUUUUCUCACUCACAGGAUGACGAUUCUUCUUUUUCUUCUGUUUUACUGGCAGUUGGCAACCCAUUUAAUUAGAGCAGGUAGUUGUACUGCCCUCUGGUGGUAGAGAAUGCAAUUGUUCUCCCGCUACCCACGCUGGUCGCUUAGAGUACUAACCGGGUGGAACCAGACAAUCUUCAAUGGCACACCUGAUCAUUUGAGAAACACUGGUCUAAGUACUCACUCAAAGAAGCAAGAGGGUCUGUCAUCAACCACACUAUCUGGAAAAGCCCGCUAAGUACAGCAACAUUAAGAAAGCUGCCGAGGCUGCUGCUGAGGAACCCAUGAAAGGAAUCCUCUGAUACACAGAAGACCAGGUGGCAUCUACAGGCUUCAACGGUGACCCUCACUUCUCCAUCUUUGAUGCUGGAGCUGGAACUGCACUCAAACAACCACAGCAACUACAGAAACCUGCUGUGUGACCCAUUCGUGCACACGGAGUCAACUCCUGAGUCAUCAUUCUGGAUUCUAGAUGUUACAGCAUCUGCACCAAGAGCAAACUCAUAUAGAAUGGGGAAAUACCUUUUAAAGGAUUGUUAUCUUUUCUGUUCAGUACUAAAGAAUGUACAGAUUCAUUGUUGUAAUGUUACUGACCUUGCGGCUCUUUUGCACUUUGAAUAAAAGAUCUAAAUUUG